AUACGGAGGGGGCUAGCGUUGUUCGGAAUUACAGGGCGUAAAGCGCGCGUAGGCGGGCUGGUCUGUUGGGGGUGAAAUCCCGAGGCUUAACCUCGGAACUGCCCUCAAUACUGCCAGUCUUGAGUUCGAGAGAGGUGAGUGAAAUUCCUAGUGUAGAGGUGAAAUUCGUAGAUAUUAGGAAGAACACCAGUGGCGAAGGCGGCUCACUGGCUCGAUACUGACGCUGAGGCGCGAAAGCGUGGGGAGCAAACAGGAUUAGAAACCCCAGUAGUCC
rnacentral:rRNA from 1 species